rnacentral:rRNA from 1 species
AUUGAACGCUGGCGGCAGGCUUAACACAUGCAAGUCGAGCGGGGAAGGGUAGCUUGCUACCUGACCUAGCGGCGGACGGGUGAGUAAUGCUUAGGAAUCUGCCUAUUAGUGGGGGACAACAUUCCGAAAGGAAUGCUAAUACCGCAUACGCCCUACGGGGGAAAGCAGGGGAUCUUCGGACCUUGCGCUAAUAGAUGAGCCUAAGUCAGAUUAGCUAGUUGGUGGGGUAAAGGCCUACCAAGGCGACGAUCUGUAGCGGGUCUGAGAGGAUGAUCCGCCACACUGGGACUGGAACACGUCCCAGACUCCGACGGGAGGCAGCAGUGGGGAAUAUUGGACAAUGGGCGCAAGCCUGAUCCAGCCAUGCCACGUGUGUGAAGAAGGCCUUUUGGUUGUAAAGCACUUUAAGCGAGGAGGAGGCUACUGAGAUUAAUACUCUUGGAUAGUGGACGUUACUCGCAGAAUAAGCACCGGCUAACUCUGUGCCAGCCGCCGCCGUAA